AUAUCCUAGUGAUCUGAUUACUUUUCAUAAUUUCCAUAAGAUAUCAUAAUUAUUUAAAAAGA
rnacentral:rRNA from 1 species